AACAUGGGGGUUUUUAUCUGAGUGACUGUCUUUCCAAUGGAGCCUGAGGUAGGACCUCCUACACAGGUAGAGCUGCAGCCGCUGUGGAAAUCUGGAAUGAUGCCAAUAGAAGGGAGAGAAGACAACCUUCUGCAAGGCAGAGAAAGGACUGGGGUGCCCAAGGCAGAGCAUGCUGGACUCUGGCACCUUCUCAGUCAUCCUGUGAAAACUAAGAUAAGAGAUGGCAGAGACAGAGACAAAGUCAAGGUUUGAGUCUAUAAAUCUGCCCCAGGCAGGGAUGACCCAGAGGCCUCCGGG
rnacentral:lncRNA from 1 species